CAUUUAAAGAGUGCGUAAUAGCUCACUAGUCGAGUGACACUGCGCCGAAAAUGUACCGGGGCUAAACAUAUUACCGAAGCUGUGGAUUGUCCUUUGGACAAUGGUAGGAGAGCGUUCUAAGGGCGUUGAAGCAUGAUCGUAAGGACAUGUGGAGCGCUUAGAAGUGAGAAUGCCGGUGUGAGUAGCGAAAGACGGGUGAGAAUCCCGUCCACCGAUUGACUAAGGUUUCCAGAGGAAGGCUCGUCCGCUCUGGGUUAGUCGGGUCCUAAGCUGAGGCCGACAGGCGUAGGCGAUGGAUAACAGGUUGAUAUUCCUGUACCACCUAUAAUCGUUUUAAUCGAUGGGGGGACGCAGUAGGAUAGGCGAAGCGUGCGAUUGGAUUGCACGUCUAAGCAGUAAGGCUGAGUAUUAGGCAAAUCCGGUACUCGUUAAGGCUGAGCUGUGAUGGGGAGGAGACAUUGUGUCUUCGAGUCGUUGAUUUCACACUGCCGAGAAAAGCCUCUAGAUAGAAAAUAGGUGCCCGUACCGCAAACCGACACAGGUAGUCAAGAUGAGAAUUCUAAGGUGAGCGAGCGAACUCUCGUUAAGGAACUCGGCAAAAUGACCCCGUAACUUCGGGAGAAGGGGUGCUCUUUAGGGUUAACGCCCAGAAGAGCCGCAGUGAAUAGGCCCAAGCGACUGUUUAUCAAAAACACAGGUCUCUGCUAAACCGUAAGGUGAUGUAUAGGGGCUGACGCCUGCCCGGUGCUGGAAGGUUAAGAGGAG
rnacentral:rRNA from 1 species